UUCCGGUUGAUCCCGCCGGGACCCCACUGCUAUCGAGGUGGGACUAAGCCAUGCUAGUUGAGCGCACAGAAACUAUGUCUGUGAGCGGCACACUGCUCAGUAACACGUAGCUAACCUACCCUUAGGACGUGGACAACCCCGAGAAAUUGGGGCUAAUCCGCGAUAGAUGUAUUGUCCUGGAAUGGUAUUACGUCUAAAGGUAUCCCAUACAUGUUUGGUAUAUGCCUAAGGAUGGGGCUGCGGCCGAUCAGGCUGUUGGUGAGGUAAUGGCUCACCAAACCUUUGACCGGUACGGGCCAUGAGAGUGGUAGCCCGGAGAUGGACACUGAGACAAGGGUCCAGGCCCUACGGGGCGCAGCAGGCGCGAAACCUCCUCAAUGCACUUACGUGCGAAGGGGCUACCUCGAGUGCCAUCUGAUGAAGGUGGCUUUUCCUAGGUCUAAAAAGCCUUGGGAAUAAGAGGGGGGCAAGACUGGUGUCAGCCGCCGCGGUAACACCAGCCCCUCGAGUGGUGGGGAUGAUUAUUGGGCCUAAAGCGUCCGUAGCCUGCCGUAUAAGUUUCCCGUUAAAUCCAGCGUCUCAAGCGUUGGACCGCGGGAAAUACUGUACGGCUAGAGAGUGGGAGAGGUCAGCGGUAUUCUGGGGGUAGGGGCGAAAUCCUUUGAUCCCCGGAGGACCACCAGUGGCGAAGGCUGCUGUCUAGAACACGUCUGACGGUCAGGGACGAAAGCUGGGGUAGCGAACCGGAUUAGAUACCCGGGUAGUCCCAGCCGUAAACGAUGCAUGCUAGGUGUUGGGUUGGCCACGCGCCACCCCAGUGCCGCAGGGAAGCCGUUAAGCAUGCCGCCUGGGAAGUACGAUCGCAAGGUUGAAACUUAAAGGAAUUGGCGGGGGAGCACCACCAGGCGUGAAGCCUGCGGUUUAAUUGGAGUCAACGCCGGA
rnacentral:rRNA from 1 species